rnacentral:lncRNA from 1 species
GAUGGAGUCUCACUUGUUGCUCAGGCUAGAGUGCCAUGAUACAAUCAAGGCUCAUUGCAGCCUUGACCUCCUGGGCUCUAGUAAUCCUCUCACCUCAGCCUCCUGAGUAGGCUCCUAAGUAUCCUCCCACCUUGGCCUCCCAAAGUGCUGUAAUUACAGGCAUGAGCCACCAUGCCUGGCCAAAAUUUACUGUCUUAAUCGUUUUUUUAUUCUUUUGAUUAUAGCCAUUCUAGUGGUAUCUUGUGGUUUUAAUUUGCAUUUCCCGAAGAUCAUAUUCAGCAUCUUUUUAUAUAACCCAGGAGUUCAAGACCAGCCAGGGCAACAUGGCAAAACCCCU